AGGAGCAAAUGGGACCUGUAAAAUGGGAGACACUGAUUCUUCAGGUAGUGAUCUUCUUUUGCAUGUACUAGAUCACCUCAUAAUAAUGGGAUUGACAUUUAUAUGGCCCAUCUUUUUUGUUCUACCUUUUAAGUACCUGAUCUUACAUAAUUAUCUGUUUAUGACAGUAGAUUGCUCAAUAUAAAAUUAUAUUCUUGAUGAGAUAUAGAUGAGCAAUGCAGUUUCACACUUUUAAUCUACCACAUGCAGGCAUAUAUGAUUUCCGUGAACUUGUCUGCAAAUUCAUUAUAUGUACCGGACUUUUCUUCCAUGCAAUACCUAAACUAUGGUGCUGCAGUGAGUGAGGCAAGUAAAUCAGUGGGCUCUAUUCAGCUCAGCUGUCUUGCAUUGCGGUCUUUGUUGAAGUGAAUCUUCAAUUAAAUACAAUAGCUGUUUUCGAAAACUAACAUUAUAGUUGCUAAUACUGUGGCAUUACAGGUAGAGAUAAACCUUUUAACUGGUCAAACCACAAUAUUGCAGACAGAUAUCAUAUAUGAUUGUGGCCAAAGCUUAAACCCCGCCGUGGAUUUAGGACAGGUUGGCCCAAAUCUAAUCCUUUUUCAUUACUUAAAUUUAAAAUAUUUGUUCUUUAACCUUUACUAAUUUGCAAUGUUUUCUAAACUGGACCAGUGGUCGAACUGGUCAGGCCAUCAGUUGACUGGUCUGACUGGUCCAAUUUAAAAACCCAGUUUGACCGCCGAUUCAACUAGUUUUUAGCUAGUUCUACCGGUUCCCAGUCUAACUGGUUCAAAAGCACCUUCCGCACCGGUACUCCGGCCAGUUCCCAUUCCAACCGGUCCAACUGGCCGGUCCGGUUCAAAUAACAUUGCUAAUUUGUCCUCAUUUUUAAGUUUUUACAUUUCUAGCAUGCUUAAAUUCAUUGCUCUACAGUAGUCAUUGGUUAUCUAAGUAUUUUCUGUCUUGAUAUUCAGCAGUUGAGAUAGGGAAUGGGAUCUAAGAUGAUACUAAAUUCAAGUUAACGAUUUUCUCUUAUUCAGAUUGAAGGGGCUUUUGUUCAAGGAAUAGGGUUCUUUAUGCUUGAAGAAUACCCCACAAACUCGAAAGGAUUAGUGGUUGCAGAAGGCACUUGGUCAUAUAAGAUCCCCACGGUGGAUACUGUACCUAAAAAGUUUAAUGUUGAAAUCCUGAACAGUGGACAUCAUAAAGACCGUGUACUUUCAUCAAAAGCCAAGUUCAGAUCCUUAUUGAACCUAGUUUUUUUGUUUCUGCAUGAAUGCUAAUCUCAUCAUCAUUCAUUUUUUGUGCACUCACAUAUUCGUCGAUUAGGGCAUUUCUCUUUAUUUCAUACAAAUUUGAAUCAAAAACUAUUAACAAAGUUGAGAAGCUAAACCAUUUCAGUCUAAGCAUAGACACUCGACUUUUAGUACGAGGAACAUUGAUCUGAAAUUUGAAUUCCUAGAACUCCUUAUAAUAUUCGAUUAUGGAAGAAAUGCAUACCUUGAAGAAACUGCUUCGUAGUCAGCAAAUACUAGUUGAAAGUGCAGGCCAUUGACAAAAAGGCUAACAUAGGGUGGUUGUUGUCACGGACUAGAUAAUUCUCCGCUUUGUUGUUCUCCAUCUAUAUUCUGUAGUAGGUAGUACCGUAGUCGGUACUUGAGGUGAUCAAGCUACUGCCUUUUAGUGUUUUAGUUCAUGCACUGGACACGGAAUAAGAUCACGAAGUUAUGUGACUGGUAAACGUGAAUACUUAUCAUUGACUUCUACCAUCUGUGCCU
rnacentral:lncRNA from 1 species